UCAGCUUUCUUGUGUAUUUUGUAAGAAUUGUUAAAUGGAUAUUUGGCAUCUGCUUGACUGCAGUAAAUCAGGCGGAUGUAAUGAACUUAGAAUGUCUGUAAGCAAGUGUUGAUGUCUUCAUGGAUGGAGGAAGAAAAUUAGCUAAUGAUGUCUAGCUAAAUGAAUUUGUAAUUUGUUUUUGUAGUUAAUCCACUGAAGAGGUUGGAAUAGUUGAUCCAUUCUUCACCCUUGAAUAAUAUUCUGUUAACAGAAUAUAUUCAGAUUUCUUCAGUGGCUUUGAUAAAUCUAUGUCAAAAUUUUUCAGAUAAACCCAGAAGCUGCUACUUGAAAGGUGAAAAAGACUGAGUUAGAAAAUCUUUCUGACAGGUUUGAGUGAGACGGGCUGUUACCAGGAGCCCAUGAGUGAUAGUUAGAUUUAUAGGUUACUAAGAAUCAGGUAUUUUCUUUAUGCUGAGUACCUGACAUGUCUAUCAGCAGCACCUCUGAUUCUUACAACAAAACUUUGUAAUAUUCCUGACGGUGCCACAGAUUAUCUGGAGAAAAAUUACUUGCCUGAGGACAGAAGACAUUGCACAUGUGUUCCUCACAGAAGCUGCUAGAAAAGAAGGAGGCAGCAUGUCUGUCUGUCUGCAGUAAAGGAGGCAGCACUCCUCUUCCAGCCCUAUGCUGCUGUACCCCUCAAAUGGUCCCCAGUCAGGUCCUAAGGCUAAGGUCAUCAUAGCGUUCAAUUAAAACAGGGAAAAAAGGGUGUGUCCCUAGAAAUCCAUCUCAACUUUAGAUGUGAUAAAAGGAAUAAACGCAAAAAGGAACUUAGAGCACCUUAAGGUUUAUAAUAACUGUCUUUCUUUUUAAGUAGAAGGUCAGUAUGAAAUAGAAAAUGUGCCAUAUCAAAUGUUUUAGUUGCACCUUAGUAAAAUUAUGUAUGUUAUGUAGAUUUGUUUAGUGCUAGUAAAUGUUUUUCAGUUAUGCUGUUUCCUGAAUUAUCAGUUUGUUUUAAAUAAAGAACUGUGGAAGUAUAUGCUGACUAU
rnacentral:lncRNA from 1 species